ensembl:snRNA U6 U6 spliceosomal RNA
GUGCUCACUUUGGCAGCACAUACACUCAAAUUGGAAUAAUACAGAGAAGAUUAGCAUGGCCCCUGCAGGAGGAUGACACGCACAUUUGUGAAGCGUUCCAUAUUUAA